UUCCUUGGAUCCGUGGUUUCGCCUGUGGCCUCCAGGGGGCGACGUUGCACUAAGGAGGCAUUUAUGUUUACUGCAGACCAUUCUCAUCCACUGAGCCUCCCUCCUGCAGCUGGCUGAUGCAGCUCACUGCUGUCUGUGUAGAUACGGAGCUGUGACGAGAACAAGAGGCCAGAAAGCAUCCAGGCUCUUUAAGAGAAAACCUUUCUUUAACCGUUUUCGAAACUUUUCAAAGUCAGGGACUUGUCCAGUCCAACCUCCCCACUGCUCCUAGCUCCCGAGGCUCAGUGCUCUUGGCUUCUGUCCGCUCUGCUGAGGGUCCUGCAGCGUUGCUACUGCUCAGCCAUGCUCCUGCUGCUCGUCCCAGUGCUCGCGGUGAUUUUUGUCCUGGGAGGAACCAGAGCCCAGUCUGUGACCCAGCUUGACGGCCAGGUCACUGUCUCUGAAGGAGCCCCUGUGCUGCUGAAGUGCAACUAUUCGUCGUCUGUUUCAGUGUAUCCCUUCUGGUACGUGCGAUACCCCAACCAAGGACUCCAGUUUCUCCUGAAGUAUGUAUCAGGACCCACCCUGGUUAAAGGCAUCAAAGGUUUUGAGGCUGAAAUGAAGAAGAGUGAAAGCUCUUUCCACCUGAAGAAAUCCCCAGCCCAUGUGAGCGAUGCAGCCGAGUACUUCUGUGCUGUGAGUGACACAGUGCCUGAGACUGCAGGGGAGCUGAACACAAACCUCCUGAGAUACUGAGACUUUCUGUGACUCAAGAACUCAACCUUGAAGUCUGUUUUAUAAUGUUAAAUAGCCACUCAAAGUUUCUGAUGCUUACUGAUGUAUGCUGUAUCUUUUUCAACUAUUUAGUUUUAAACUAUGACUUUAAAGUGUGUUUCUGCAUUGUGAAGUUUAGAUAAUUAAAAUUGAAUAUAAAUAUCAA